GCGAAUUUCCAUUUUCUGCUGCGACGUUAGUUGGUAAAACGACCAUAACUUUUGAUCCGGAAGGAGUUACGGGGCCUGCUACCUAUCAAAACGAAGAUAUCGACGAGAUCUACAACCUUUAUUCUUUGAGAUUUGACAGAAUCUGGCUCCAUCAAGGUCGAAAUCGGGCUUCAAGUGACUGUUGUGCAAAUUCCAACUUCCAAACUUCGAGGUUC
rnacentral:lncRNA from 1 species